rnacentral:hammerhead_ribozyme from 1 species
AUCCAGCUGAUGAGUUCCAAAUAGAACGAAACACGCUUCAUGGAU